rnacentral:rRNA from 1 species
AUGUCUCCCUCCGCGCCGCCGGCCGCCCUCCGCCUCGCGAGCCCGCCCAAAGCCCUCCUCCCCGCGCUCUCACCGUCCUCCGCCCGCUCCCCCCGCCUCUCCAUGUCGACGACCCCCUCUCGUCCCCGCGCCACACCGCUCGCCGCGACAGCUGGCGGAGGCGGCGCGGCCCCUUCCCUCCUCGCCGCGGACCCGGGCCACCGCGACUCCGUCAUCCUCGCCGCGCGCGGUGCCAUGACGAACUGCCUCGGCGAGACCCACCUCGACCUCGUCGUCCCCGGGCUCCGCCUCGCCGCCAAGGGCAAGGUGAGGGAUGUCUACGAGAGCGGGGAGCACCUGGUGCUGGUGACCACCGACCGUCAGAGCGCGUUCGACCGUGUCCUCGCCUCCAUCCCAUUCAAAGGGCAGGUUCUUAACGAGACAAGCCUUUGGUGGUUCAAUAGGACCAGUCACAUCACUCCAAAUGCAGUGGUCUCUAGUCCUGACAGGAAUGUGACAAUUGCCAAAAGCUGCUCAGUUUUUCCAGUUGAAUUUGUUGUGAGGGGAUUCGUUACUGGAAGCACUGAUACAUCACUAUGGACAGUUUAUAACAAGGGCGUGAGGAAUUACUGUGGAAAUGCCAUUCCUGAUGGCAUGGUAAAGAAUCAAAAGCUGCCAGCAAAUAUCCUCACGCCAACAACUAAAGCUGCUGAUCAUGAUGUCCCUAUCACUCCUGAUGAGAUAGUCAAGUCAGGGCUGAUGUCCAAGGAUGAUUUUGAUGAGGCAAGAAGCAAAGCCUUAAGCUUAUUUGAGUGUGGACAGAAAGUGGCAUUAGAGAAUGGAGUAAUUCUAGUUGACACAAAGUAUGAGUUUGGAAAAACAGCUGAUGGGACAGUUGUGUUAAUUGACGAGGUACAUACACCUGACUCCAGCAGAUAUUGGAUUGCUAAUUCAUAUGAAGAGAGAUUCAAAUCUGGCCUUGAACCUGAAAAUGUUGACAAGGAGUUCUUAAGGCUGUGGUUCAAGAAUAAUUGCAAUCCAUAUGAAGAUAAGGUUCUUCCAGAAGCUCCAGAAGAAUUAGUUUCUGAACUUGCUUGGCGGUACAUAUUCCUGUUUGAAACAAUUACAAAUACGAAGUUUGAGAUCCCAGAAACACAGGAACCGAUCCAUGAGAGGAUAUCAAGGAACGUGGCACAAGCCUUACGGAAUUUAUAG